UACGGAGGGUGCGAACGUUAAUCGGAAUCACUGGGCGUAAAGCGCGCGUAGGCGGUUUGUUAAGUGGGAUGUGAAAUCCCCGGGCUUAACCUGGGAAUUGCAUUUCAAACUGGCCGACUAGAGUACGGUAGAGGGAGGUAGAAUUUCCUGUGUAGCGGUGAAAUGCGUAGAGAUCAUGAGGAAGACCAGUGGCGAAGGCGGGUCUCUGGACAGUUCCUGACACUGAGACACGAAGGCCAGGGGAGCAAACGGG
rnacentral:rRNA from 1 species